ACAUUCAUUUACCUCUUCUGUUAUAAAUUAGUGGACACCGCGUCCUGAAAAUUGCAGAUAGGUGUCCCAAAUUCACCAUUUUAAGAAAACUCCACUCCACCUCUCCCACCCCCUUUCUUUCUCACUCAUUUUCUUAUGUGAGAGAGGAGGUAGCUAGGCUGAGUUUCUAGCUAGAGCUAUAUCAGCGAUAUCAGGUGAAGAGAAGGUGUGUGUGAGCAAGAUGGAGAAGCAGGGCACGUGCAUUACUAACUCAUGCACACAGAGUGAGAGAGACAUUUCUUGCUGGAGUUAUGACUCUUACCUACUAUAGAUUUUGUUGGCUUCAGCGAGUUAGUUCUUCAUGUGCCUGUCUUCCCCAUCAUGAUCACUACCACACCUAUAUUAUUAGCUCAUCUGGGCACUUCAUAUAGGAUCGAGAAUCUCCUCUUCAGGGACUGAAUUCAUGCAUGCAGGUGAGUCAUAUUUAAACCCAUGUUAGGUAAUUAGCAUAAUUCUUGUUCUGUAUUUUUGUGGAGAGAAGUUAUGGCUCCAUAGGCAUUGCAUACCUAACCAUUUCUCCUUUUGUUCUCUUAUGGUCAAAAUACUAUGCGUAAAAAGCACUCCUCAUAUCAUAUGUUAUCGAAGAUACACAUACAAACAAAAAGAAAUAUGUGUGUGUGUAAUUAAAUAUAAUAUUUGUGAAGAUCAAGAAAAACAAUUCUUUGAAUGUGAGAAUAAAGAUCAAGAAAAGAUCUAUCCUCUACGUCUUGUUUUAUUGGAUAUAUUGUCAUAUUGCGAGUUCAAAGUCAGUGAGCGAUAUAUUUCUUCAAAAUCGUCAUGGUGGAUAAAGAUAAGCUUUGACUCAAUUAUUAGUAUCAUGAUCAGAGUUGAUUCAAGCUUAUUAUGACGCCGACAGUUUGAUUUCCAUCUCCAGCUGUGAAGUUUGAGCUAACCAUCGACAGAGGUAAUUAACUCUAUAAUCAUGAUUGAUGUUAUUUCACAGCC
rnacentral:precursor_RNA from 1 species